ACAGGAGCCAAAGGCAAAAACAAGAAAUCAGGAAAAGGCUCAGAGAACAUUGGCAGAAUAAGGGGAGGAAGAAAAAGGAUCAGUGGUGCAGAAGGAAAAGCUUGGAAAUUUAAGAAUGUGCUGUUCUGUGACAGGCUUCAGACCACCACAUCUUUGUCUGUGUGCCAGAAUGAGCAAUGAGAUGAAGAAACUGAGAUACAGAUACAUUUAUGACUUGCCCAAGAUCACCCAGGAAGUCUAUUGAAGAAUCAGGAAUGAAAAUCCAGUUCCCUGAUACCCAGUGCCGUGCAUUAGGCACAAGACCAGAU